ACGGGAGGCAGCAGUGGGGAAUAUUGGGCAAUGGGCGAAAGCCUGACCCAGCAACGCCGCGUGAAGGAAGAAGGUCUUCGGAUUGUAAACUUCUUUUAUGUGGGACGAACACAAUGACGGUACCACAUGAAUAAGCCACGGCUAACUACGUGCCAGCAGCCGCGGUAAUACGUAGGUGGCAAGCGUUAUCCGGAUUUACUGGGUGUAAAGGGCGCGUAGGCGGGGAUGCAAGUCAGAUGUGAAAUCCAUGGGCUCAACCCAUGAACUGCAUUUGAAACUGUAUCUCUUGAGUGCUGGAGAGGUAGAUGGAAUUCCUAGUGUAGCGGUGAAAUGCGUAGAUAUUAGGAGGAACACCGGUGGCGAAGGCGGCUUGCUGGGCUUUUACUGACGCUGAGGCUCGAAAGCGUGGGUAGCAAACAGGAUUAGAUACCCUGGUA
rnacentral:rRNA from 1 species